GAUGUGACUUCAGCUCUGAAAUCAAACCUAUCACAACUGAGAGAGCUGAACCUCAGUGUGAAUAAAAUAAAAGACACAGGAUUGAAGAGCUUAUGUGAAGUUCUGAAGGAUUCACACUGUAAACUGGAGAGAUUGAGUCUGCAUGACUGUGGCAUUACAGAUGUUUCUUCUUUAACUCAGUCUUUGACAAACACAAAAGCACUGCAGUUUCUAAAAGAGCUUCAUCUGAGUAAUAAUACAAUAGGAAAGUCAAAAGAGCAGCUCACUGAAGUACUACAAGGCUCAAACUGUAAACUGAGCUUGGAGAAAGGAACUUGGUUUAAUGUAAAGGCUGGUUUAAAAUUUGCAGGCAGUGCUAUUGGUGGAUAUUUUACGACAGAUAAAAAAACUACAUAACCA